rnacentral:piRNA from 1 species
UGCAGUGGUCCUGCUGUGA